UCGAAGCCUAACUCCUUUCUCCGCCCGUUCCUUUUCUCCUUCUUCCUCGCGCCGGUUUCCUCUCCCAAACCCGAUCUUCUCCUCAUCUCUCUCGCGUGCACACACUCUCCCCUCUGCCGCCGGCGACGAGAGCCGCCUCUCCUCUACUCUGCACAGAGUCGACGUCGGACGGAAGUGCCGCCGAUCUUCCUUGUGUGCCCUAGCGCCGCGGCUUCCUCUGCCCUAGCCUGACCGAUCCCCCUUCUCCUCUUCCGAGCGCCGGCAGCCGGCCAAGCUCCUUUGCCCUAGCGUCGACAGUCGAGCCCUCUUCGUCGGGAGACCAUGUGUCAAGUCGUGCCCUAGUCUCCAGCCGACGUCUCCUCGCGAGUAGUCCGAGUCCCUUCCACCUAUGACCACUACAAGAGCUAGCCCACUAGUGUCGAGUUUCCUCUCGCACCUUUGCCAAGAUUCCACCAGCCAACCUCACUGUGACCAAGCACUGUCACCGGAUCCUUAUCACCUCCGACCAGUGGAGAGGAAGAGCAACUAGUUGAGGGUUGUGGAGCAACAAAUACGGCUGAGAGGGCAAGGAAUUCCAGCCUAGUCUUUCCCUCUGUUAAAUCUCCGGUAGAGAGGAAGAACUUGGCACCGUUGCAGACCGUUGGUAGCAAUAUUCUUUGGGAAGCAACCUUUGGCAGCAACUUCUCCGACAGUGAGUUAUCGACUGAGGCAUUCAACUCAGG